GGUCGCGCCAACCACUUGAGGGGUCUCCUGGUCGGCCAUUUUGUUUGGGAGGUUUUAGUUUUUCAUGGCUACCGUCUUUUGUUUUGUUGACUCAUCGACUUUUCAGUUGGGUUCCGGAUAGGAAAACGAAAAUGCGACUAUCUAAUUAUGCAAAGCAAAAAGUCAAGUGCUACAGGUGGAAACGAAAAAAAGAACAAAGGAAAGGAAGGUCAGAAGUGUGGGGAAGGAUUUUAGUCAUUAGCCAGUGAGGAUUAGAAUUUUAUGGAAAUGAGUUGUUUUUUACAUCAUUUAAAUAAAAUCUCAAAAAGAAUGAGUCAGUCGAAAUCACCAGUCUCGAUCGGGUGGUCAUUCUGGCCUGGUUAAUGAUAGUCGCCAUUUUGAAUUCACAUUUUAAUUGUCGGUUGUAGGAUGGCGCCAUCGAUCGUCGAAGGAAUAAGUCCGGGCAGCUUUUAAUACCACCUACGUAUCCUCUAUAUAAGCUCCCAAUGGAGGUUGUGCAUUCGGACGUGUGGGCCACUUCAUCCCUGGUUCCAAUCAGGAACGUGGAGGCCCCCCGCAGACGUAAACAACAUCCAACUGUUGCGUUUUUAAAAGGGCUCUCUCGCUGUGUGUGGGAAUUUACACGAGAUAUUUCGUUCUAUUCUCGUGCCCAUUUUCUUAAAGGAAAGAACGUAUUCAUCACGCUAAAGAAGCUUGAGCUAAUCUAAGCCGACAGCUGUUACGGUAGGAAGAGCUGUCAGAAAAAGGAAGAGAUGGAAACUUGUACUCUGUUGGCUACUCCACUUUCAUUUGUCAUGUAAUUAUUAUUAGAAGCCUUUUGUCCAUUUUGACCAAAAGGAUCAGAAAGAGAAAUCAAAAUGAGAUGAGAGACUUCGGCGCGCACAACUUUCCUGCACAAGUGGCGCACCACCAGGAACCCCCCUCC